CUCUGCCGCCAGCGUUCCUCUCUCCUCCGUCUCCUUGGCUCGUCUCUCCCUGUGCUCGGCCGCCGUAGCUGUCGCCUCCGUCCGCUUGAUUCUGUCGCGAUCGGCCUCCGCGGUGCCAUGUUGGCCCCCGGAAGAGGAGGAAUGAAGAGACGAUUGAGGCUGAGUUCUAGUGUUACUGUCGCGAUCACAAUUUGCUUUUUUUUUCUUUCAAAUUAGUAUUAUUGUUAUGAUCACAUUCUGGUCUUUGUUUUUGGUUUUUACUGAAAGAUCCAUGUUGUAGAUACCAAGACGAAGAACAUGAACUAUUUAUAAAGCUGGAUAAAUGUUGCAAGUCUA
rnacentral:lncRNA from 1 species